AUGGCUUGCACUAUGCUCGAUGAAUACAAAACGCCUCGUCGGUUCUGGAUUGAGGCAAUUGAUACUGCAUGCCACAUCAUCAAUAGAGUAUAUCUUCACAAAUUCUUCAAGAAGACUGCCUAUGAACUCCUCACUGAUAAGAAACCCAAUGUAAGUUAUUUCAAAGUCUUCGGUGCUAAAUGUUGGAUUAGAGAUCCUCAUCACAACUCAAAAUUUGCACCGAAAGCACAUGAAGGUUUUAUGCUUGGUUACGGAAAGGACUCGCACACCUACAGAGUCUUCAACAAUGUUCUUCACAAGGUUGUUGAAACUAUAGAUGUGCGGUUCGAUGAAACUAAUGGCUCGCAAAGAGAGCACCUACCUACUAUGAUAGAUGAACCAGCACCUGAGGAA
rnacentral:rRNA from 1 species